rnacentral:rRNA from 1 species
GCCAUUACCACCCUGAACGUGCCCGAUCUGGUUUAAUCUAGGAAGCUAAGCAGGGUCGGACCUGGUUAGUACUUGGCUGGGAGAAGUUUGAGCAAUGCUGGGGGACU